CUGAAGUUCAGUUUCCUCUAUGACUAGAAAAGAUAGUCCACUUAUCUGACUGCGAAUUCAAAUAAUAUAAAGUUUAAUAAUCCAGUUGGAAUUGGAGUUUUUCCUUAGCUUCAGAGUAUAGGGCCAGGCCCUAGAGGCUGGCGGAGGGUUUGUCCCACUCCUUCUACUCUCGUUGUUCUAAUUCAGAAUCUUAGCAGUACACAGAAAGCAAACAAGAACAAUUCUAACCUUUAAAAGCCUGUGUCUUUGGGCUGAAACAAGAAGAGCAUGCCUCUCCAGACUGGGCUUAACAAGCUCCUCUCUCCUCCAAUACCCAGAAGCAAGUCCCACACGACAGGAAGGAAGUGCUAGUCACAAGACCCAACUGCCACACCCAGCAGGAAGGAAGUGCUAGUCACAAGAGCCAACUGCCACUCCCAGUAGGGCCCUUCCCCCACAAACUGUCAGUCUUGUUUCCUUUCCACAAGCAUGUGUCGCCAAUAAUCUAAAAAUGAUAUUUGUAUGUUUAUGCUGAAUGUUGGAGGGCAUAAAGCCUCAUCCCUGCAUUAUUUCCCGAAAGCAAAAAUAACCUCAUCUGCAAGAAAAUAACAUGCUACUGGGUGAUACAAAAUGUGAAGAGACAAGUAAAUACCACAAAAUUUGUGAAGGGAGAGGACGUUUACAAUUCGGAAGAUCCGGAAAGACUUCUAGCAACAGGUGGCACAUGAACCAAAUUCUGAAGGAAGUUAUUCUAAAUGAAGGAGAUGAGUCAAGAAAGAAACAAGGAGACUAAGAGAAUUGGCCAGGUUCACACAGCUAGAAAGUAUCUAAGGUGGGAUUUGAAAUCUGUUAUUUCUGAUUCUGAAGUCAUUUCCUUUUCC